rnacentral:rRNA from 1 species
GUGGGGAAUAUUGGACAAUGGGCGAAAGCCUGAUCCAGCCAUGCCGCGUGUGUGAAGAAGGUCUUCGGAUUGUAAAGCACUUUAAGUUGAGAGGAAGGGCAGUAAGUUAAUACCUUGCUGUUUUGACGUUACCAACAGAAUAAGCACCGGCUAACUUCGUGCCAGCAGCCGCGGUAAUACGAAGGGUGCAAGCGUUAAUCGGAAUUACUGGGCGUAAAGCGCGCGUAGGUGGUUCAGCAAGUUGAAGGUGAAAUCCCCGGGCUCAACCUGGGAACUGCCUCAAAAACUACUGAGCUAGAGUACGGUAGAGGGUAGUGGAAUUUCCUGUGUAGCGGUGAAAUGCGUAGAUAUAGGAGGGAACACCAGGGGCGAAGGCGACUACCUGGACUGAUACUGACACUGAGGUGCGAAAGCGUGGGGAGCAAACAGGAUUAGAAACCCCAGUAGUCC